rnacentral:lncRNA from 1 species
UAUAUAUAAAAAAUUUCAUACCUAAAUAAUUAUUAUUGAAUAAUUUAUUUCGACAUUCAAAUGGAGCCUAAGAGAGUAGGGAUGCAAGCGGGUGCGGAUCUGGGAGCCCCGUUUUCUUGUCAGGACGGGCUUAUUCAAGAGGGAUUAAUUUUUAUCGUAUUUUUUGUUUUCACUUACCGCACUAUUCAUAACGAAUGAAAAGAGAAAGGAGUCUUCCGCCUUUCGCUCUAUUUUUUUUAAUGGAUUAGAACGAACUCGAGACGAAUUAUUAUUUCUGUAUUGUAGUUUUUCAUUUACUAUUUCAUUCAAAACGAACUCAGAUAGUGAGCUCCGCAACUCUAAAUCUAGAGUCCAGUUACGGUGCUUCCAAUAGCACCAAGCAUUUGGUGCAAUUAAAUUUUCCACCACCAGAUCUAUCUCCUGUAGAUCACGCUAUUCCACCAGCCAUCCACUAAACUCUAGGGAGAUCACUAUCGUCAUAACCUUACAAACUUUCAGUCAAAGACCAAAAAUUUAUGAGCAUUACGUAUUAAUAACCAAGUGCUAUCAGAAGCAUUCUAGCUGAGUUCUCUGAGUCUAUUUGCAUUCAUCUCUGGAGGUCCCAUCCUCAU